UAGUCGAUAUAUCAGCUUCGUGUGGUUU
rnacentral:sRNA from 1 species